rnacentral:rRNA from 1 species
GGCGGGGGUGCUAUACAUGCAAGUCGAGCGGACAGAAGGGAGCUUGCUCCCGGAUGUUAGCGGCGCCACGGGUGAGUAACACGUGGGUAACCUGCCUGUAAGACUGGGAUAACUCCGGGAAACCGGAGCUAAUACCGGAUAGUUCCUUGAACCGCAUGGUUCAAGGAUGAAAGACGGUUUCGGCUGUCACUUACAGAUGGACCCGCGGCGCAUUAGCUAGUUGGUGAGGUAACGGCUCACCAAGGCGACGAUGCGUAGCCGACCUGAGAGGGUGAUCGGCCACACUGGGACUGAGACACGGCCCAGACUCCUACGGGAGGCAGCAGUAGGGAAUCUUCCGCAAUGGACGAAAGUCUGACGGAGCAACGCCGCGUGAGUGAUGAAGGUUUUCGGAUCGUAAAGCUCUGUUGUUAGGGAAGAACAAGUGCAAGAGUAACUGCUUGCACCUUGACGGUACCUAACCAGAAAGCCACGGCUAACUACGUGCCAGCAGCCGCGGUAAUACGUAGGUGGCAAGCGUUGUCCGGAAUUAUUGGGCGUAAAGGGCUCGCAGGCGGUUUCUUAAGUCUGAUGUGAAAGCCCCCGGCUCAACCGGGGAGGGUCAUUGGAAACUGGGAAACUUGAGUGCAGAAGAGGAGAGUGGAAUUCCACGUGUAGCGGUGAAAUGCGUAGAGAUGUGGAGGAACACCAGUGGCGAAGGCGACUCUCUGGUCUGUAACUGACGCUGAGGAGCGAAAUUCUGACGACUCC